AUUGCACUUAUAGCACCGAGCCUCUUUCUUGCUUUUGCUCUUCUGAGACUUUGAUUGUUCCUUUGACUUUCCUCUUUCUAUUCCUCUUUCUGACCUCUCUCCCACGACCAAGCCCUCCUAGGGAGCUCCAUCCUUGGUCAUCUUUUUCUGCUGUUCAUUGGAGCGUAGCACUGAGACCAUGUCUUCAUACUCCAGAGUCUCUUUGCCAUAUAAUAGCGUCGUCACCAAUGGAUC
rnacentral:lncRNA from 1 species